GGGCGAGUAGCUUACCGGAAGCACCAGCUCUACGAACUACCUAUCAGCUCGAUCAGCAUGCGUGGAGGUUCAAAUCCUCCCUCGUCCA
rnacentral:tRNA from 1 species